GGCCGUCUAGCUCAGUUGGUUAGAGCGUCGUGCUAAUAUGGGAUAUAGAAUUUGUCCUGUUACGCGAAGGUCUUGGGUUCGACCCCCACGAUGGCCA